rnacentral:rRNA from 1 species
ACGUUGAGGCUCGGAAAGCGUGGGGAGCAAAACAAGAAUAGAUACCCUGGUAGUCCACGCUGUAAACGAUGAAUACUAGGUUGGGAGGACUGACCCCUUCCGUGCCGCAGUUAACACAAUAAGUAUUUCACCUGGGGAGUACGGCCGCAAGGUUGAAACUCAAAGGAAUUGACGGGGGCCCGCACAAGCAGUGGAUUAUGUGGUUUAAUUCGAAGCAACGCGAAGAACCUUACCAGGGCUUGACAUCCAACUAACGAAGCAAAAGAUGCAUUAGGUUCCCUUCGGGGAAAGUUGAGACAGAUGGUGCAUGGUUGUCGUCAGCUCGUGUCAUGAGAUGUUGGGUUAAGUCCCGCAACGAGCGCAACCCUUGUCCUCAGUAGCCAGCGGCCAGGCCGGGCACUCUGGGGAGACCGCCAGGGACAACCUGGAGGAAGAUGGGGAUGACGUCAAAUCAUCAUGCCCCUUAUGAUUUGGGCUACACACGUGCUACAAUGGCGUUAAACAAAGGGAAGGGAAGACGCGAGCAGAGCAAAUCCCCAAAAGACGUCUCAGUUCGGAUUGCAGGCUGCAAUCGCCGUAUGAAGUCGGAAUUCUAGAAUU